GCCCCCAUGGCUCAGUGGUUAGAGCGCUCCGCCCUGCUUCGUCGAUAUAGCAUACACACUUUCCCUGCUUCGUCGAUAUAGGCACACCGGAGAGGUCCUGAGUUCAAUCCUCGGUGGGGGCA